AUAGAAAUGAAUUCUUUAUGUUCGUACUGAGAUCCGACACAGGUGCCCCUUGGUGAGAAGCCUAAGGCGUGUUGGGAUACUCCAGUUAAGGGAACUCGGCAAAAUAGCUCCGUAACUUUGGGAUAAGGAGUGCGUACUGUCUUUAAUCGGACGGUACGUCUCAGUAACUUGAGGGCUUCGACUGUUUAAUAAAAACACAGCUAGCUGCUAUCCUGUAAAGGUUUGUACAGCUGGUGACAUCUGCCCAGUGCCGGCACGUUAAGCCCGGUUUCAACCGGGGGAAGCGCCGGUAAACGGCGGGAGUAACUAUAACUCUCUUAAGGUAGCGUAAUACCUUGCCGCUUAAUUGGCGGCUUGCAUGAAUGGUGUAACGAGAGCCCUACUGUCCCUAACUGGAACCUAGUGAAACCACUUCCUGGUGAAUAUGCCAGGGUCCCCCGAUGGGAAGCGAAGACCCCAUGGAGUUUUACUGCAGCCUGUCGUUGUCGCUUGGAUUUUGAUGUAGAGCGUAGUUGGUAGCCAUCGAAGCAAUCUCGUCAGGGAUUGUGGAGGCGCAAAUGGAACACCAACCUUCUAGGUCUAAGCGACUAACCAACAUUGUUAUUGUUGGGACACCGGUAGGUGGGCAGUUUGGCUGGGGCGGUACGCCCUCGAGAAGAUAUCGAGGGCGCCCUAAGGUUGACUCAGGUGGGUCAGGAAUCCACCGUAGAGGGCAAGGCCAAAAGUCAGCCUGACUGGAUAUUGCACCACAAGAUAUCCAGAGGCGAAAGCCGGGCCUAGCGAACUCCAAUGCCUCCUUGAUGGGGGCUUGGACUAACAGAAAAACUACCCUGGGGAUAACUGAGUCGUCCGGGGCAAGAGCCCACAUCGACCCCCGGGCUUGCUACCUCGCUGUCGGUUCUUUCCAUCCUGGGUCUGCAGCAGGACCCAAGGGUGGGGUUGUUCGCCCAUUAAAGGAGAACGUGAGCUGGGUUUAGACCGUCGUGAGACAGGUUAGUUGCUAUCUAUCGGGGGUGUUGGUCGUCUGAAGGGAAGGUAGUCCCAGUACGAGAGGAACAGACUGCCGUGGCCUCUGGUGUGCCGGUUGUCUGAUAAGGCAUCGCCGGGUAGCUACGCCAUAAUUAAUAAGGGCUGAAAGCAUCUAAGCCCGAAAUAAUCCCUGAAAAUAGACAACCACUCUCUAAUAGCAAAAGGGGAUAGGUGACUAUAACUUUAGUUAGAGACGAAGACACGGAUAGAAGAUCCGGUUGAUAGGUCGGUAGUGUAAGUACCAAGCCUUCGGGCGAGGUAUUCAGCUUACCGAUACUAAUAGUCUAAGGUUCAUCAUUC
rfam:Arc I group archaeon T1lsi0528_Bin055 AMQ22_contig000073, whole genome shotgun sequence.